rnacentral:rRNA from 1 species
CCUACGGGAGGCAGCAGUGAGGAAUAUUGGUCAAUGGGCGCGAGCCUGAACCAGCCAAGUAGCGUGAAGGAUGACUGCCCUACGGGUUGUAAACUUCUUUUGUCAGGGAACAAAGGCGGGGACGCGUCCCCGGAUGAGUGUACCUGAAGAAAAAGCAUCGGCUAACUCCGUGCCAGCAGCCGCGGUAAUACGGAGGAUGCGAGCGUUAUCCGGAUUUAUUGGGUUUAAGGGGUGCGCAGGCGGUCUGUUAAGUCAGCGGUCAAAGCCCGGGGCUCAACCCCGGCCCGCCGUUGAAACUGGCAGUCUCGAGUUGGAGAGAAGUAUGCGGAAUGCGCGGUGUAGCGGUGAAAUGCAUAGAUAUCGCGCAGAACUCCGAUUGCGAAGGCAGCAUGCCGGCUCCACACUGACGCUGAGGCACGAAAGCGUGGGUAUCGAACAGGAUUAGAUACCCCAGUAGUC